AGGCACUGCAGAGAGAGGAGAGGAGAGUCAGGUGUCAAGACAGCUCAGUGAACUAUUGGUGCAUCUUGGGGCUAAAGCUACUACAGCUAACGUCCUAAGGCAAGAGAGAAAUGUCAGAGGGAAAGUGUCAGAUUGAAGAAAUUGAACUAGUGGGCAGGCAGUUAACCCACUGUUCCCCAGGCGCCAAAGAUGUGGAUGUCGAUCAAGGCAGCCGGCGGCACCUCUCCAAUUCAGAAAUUUGACUGAAAUGGCGAGCGCAGCUGCGUACAUAACUGAAAUGCAAUCCAGGUGGCUACCUCAUGACGCUGGUUGAGAGAAUGUCAAGAGUGUGCAAAGCUGUCAUCAAGGCAAAGGGUGGCUACUUAGAAGAAUGUAAAAUAUAUUUUGAUUUGUUUAACACUUUUUUGGUUACUACACGAUUCCAUGUGUUAUUUCAUAGUUUAUGUAUUCACUAUUAUUUGACAAUGUAGAAAAUAGUAAAAAUAAAAAAACCCUUGAAUGAGGUGUGUCCAAACUUUUGACUGAUACUGUAUGCUUGACAUUUGUAUCUAAAAGCAUAAUUGAGAAAUAUUUAAAAGUUGGCCUUACCUUGGCCCCCUUUAAGACUCCGUAAUGUCGGUGCUACAGAGCAAAGACUGGUGCCUUAUGAAGCUUUACCUCUUGUGCUGAAAUACUAAAAUAAAUAAACAAUAAAUGAAAAGAUUUGGCUUUUUUUAUAUAUAUAUUGUUUAACAUAAUAUAUUCCACGGGCAUAUCAAAGUUCACGAGUUCAAGCUCUCGGCCAUAUUCUUGCUUUGUAGCACCUACAUAUACAACAUUAUGUCGUCUUAAAGAUGAACUGUGCAGAAAUGGCGCUGUCAUUUCUUGGCUGUUAAAAGUCAAAUAGUUAUCCUAAUUUCAGCUUGUGACAAAACAAUCGAGUAUAGUGUGGAGAAUCAUGGUACCAUCUAAACCGCUGUGAAAUGUAUUUUCCAUAACCCAAAACACAGUAUUUUCAGCUGUUUGAAGCCGGUCUACAGAACUGAAAGUAAAAGACAAACACUAAACGGAAAGCAUAGACAUAGCACACACAGAACAGAUCUACCGCUUCUUAGAUGAGAAUGACAGAUCUACAACUCACAUUUCCAAAAUGUCAUAAAUAUGCCUCCUUUGAUUAAUUGUUUUUUUUUAUUAUGCUUUCAGAUACAAAAUGUUAAAUAAAUGUCAACA